AGAGUUUGAUCCUGGCUCAGAACGAACGCUGGCGGCGUGGAUAAGACAUGCAAGUCGCACGGAGAAAAGAUAGUUUACUAGCUUUUCUGAGUGGCGCACGGGUGAGUAACACGUGAGCAACCUGCCUCUUAGUGGGGGAUAGCCCUGGGAAACCGGGAUUAAUACCGCACAUCAUCGCAAGAUGAAAGCAGCAAUGCGCUAAGAGAGGGGCUCGCGGCCUAUUAGUUAGUUGGUGAGGUAACGGCUCACCAAGGCGAUGACGGGUAGCCGGUCUGAGAGGAUGUCCGGCCACACUGGAACUGAGACACGGUCCAGACACCUACGGGUGGCAGCAGUCGAGAAUCAUUCACAAUGGGGGAAACCCUGAUGGUGCGACGCCGCGUGGGGGAAGAAGGUCUUCGGAUUGUAAACCCCUGUCAUGUGGGAGCAAGCUAGCAAUAGUUGAUAGUACCACAAGAGGAAGAGACGGCUAACUCUGUGCCAGCAGCCGCGGUAAUACAGAGGUCUCAAGCGUUGUUCGGAAUCACUGGGCGUAAAGGGUACGUAGGCUGUACCAUAAGUCGGGCGUGAAA
rnacentral:rRNA from 1 species